rnacentral:lncRNA from 10 species
GUCGACCCCCUGCCUCUCUUCUCCGCGGGUGUGCAGAUCGCCGCCGGCCGAGGCUUGCCGCCGCCGCCCCGACUGGGGGAAUGAGCAGGCGCCAGGUCUUGAAUUCCUGUCAGGGCCGGUCUGGGGGCUCCCUGCUGAAGCCCCUGUCCCUGAUCCCGCAACCUCCCGGUCUCUUUCGCCCAGGCUGGAGUGUGAUCACGGCUACUGCAGCCUCGAUCUCCAGGGCUCAAGUGAUUCUCUCACGUCGGCCUCGCAGUAACUGGGACCACAGACAUGAGCCACCAUGCCUGGCUUUUUUUUGUUUUGUUUUGUUUUGUUUUUUGUAGAGACAGGGCGGGGUGUGAGACUCUCAUCUUGUUGCCCAAGCUGGUCUCCUGAGCUCAAGGAUCUGCCCUCCUCGGCCUCCCAAAGCGCUGGGAUUACAGCUUGAUACCCUACCUUGUUUUAACCUGAUUGACUCGCUCUUAGCUGAGAGAGCGGGACAGACUCCAUUUUGGUUUCUUCGCUUGCAGCACCUUGUCCCCCUCCCUUAAGGACAUAACUGGUGCAGACUGACACCAAGCACAUCCAGGAAUGUGCUUACUGAUAAGAUACUGAGGCAAGCUGUACCAGCAGCUCCUGGGAACGCGCUCGGUUGAUGGUACCCAAAGCCCCUGCGUUUAUCUCUUUGUGAUAAUUUAAGCCCCAUGCACCUGGAACUGUUUAUUUUCCUGUAACUGUUUCUAUAACCAUUUAUCUUUUAACUCUUUGCCUGUUCUGCUUCUGUAAAAAUUGCUUCAGCUAGACUACCCCUUCCCUAUUUAGACCAAGGUAUAAAAAGAAAUCUAGCCCCUUCUUCAGGGCCGAGAGAAUUUUGAGCUGUAGUCGUCUCUCGGUCGCCGGCA